rnacentral:rRNA from 1 species
UACGAAGGGGGCUAGCGUUGUUCGGAAUUACUGGGCGUAAAGCGCGCGCAGGCGGCUUCUCAAGUCAGGGGUGAAAGCCCAGAGCUCAACUCUGGAACUGCCCUUGAAACUGUGGAGCUUGAGUACGGGAGAGGUGAGUGGAAUUCCCAGUGUAGAGGUGAAAUUCGUAGAUAUUGGGAAGAACACCGGUGGCGAAGGCGGCUCACUGGCCCGUUACUGACGCUCAGGCGCGACAGCGUGGGGAUCAAACAG